GAUGAACGCUGGCGGCGUGCCUAAUACAUGCAAGUCGAGCGAACAGACGAGGAGCUUGCUCCUUCGACGUUAGCGGCGGACGGGUGAGUAACACGUAGGUAACCUACCUAUAAGACUGGGAUAACUUCGGGAAACCGGAGCUAAUACCGGAUAAUAUUUCGAACCGCAUGGUUCGAUAGUGAAAGAUGGCUUUGCUAUCACUUAUAGAUGUACCUGCGCCGUAUUAGCUAGUUGGUAAGGUAACGGCUUACCAAGGCAACGAUACGUAGCCGACCUGAGAGGGUGAUCGGCCACACUGGAACUGAGACACGGUCCAGACUCCUACGGGAGGCAGCAGUAGGGAAUCUUCCGCAAAGGGCGAAAGCCUGACGGAGCAACGCCGCGUGAGUGAUGAAGGUCUUCGGAUCGUAAAACUCUGUUAUUAGGGAAGAACAAACGUGUAAGUAACUGUGCACGUCUUGACGGUACCUAAUCAGAAAGCCACGGCUAACUACGUG
rnacentral:rRNA from 1 species